rnacentral:rRNA from 1 species
AGUCAAGUAAUUAAGUGCAUGUGGUGGAUGCCUUGGCAGUCAGAGGCGAUGAAAGACGUGAUAGCCUGCGAAAAGCUCCGGGGAGGCGGCAAAUAUCCUUUGAUCCGGAGAUGUCUGAAUGGGGGAACCCACCUACUUUAAGGUAGGUAUUGCAACAUGAAUACAUAGUGUUGCAAGGCGAACGAGGGGAAGUGAAACAUCUCAGUACCCUUAGGAAAAGAAAUCAAUUGAGAUUCCCUCAGUAGCGGCGAGCGAACGGGGAUCAGCCCAUUAAGUUAUGUGUGUUUUAGUGGAACGCUCUGGGAAGUGCGAACGUAGAGGGUGAUAUUCCCGUACACGAAAGGGCACACAUAAUGAUGACGAGUAGGGCGAGGCACGUGAAACCUUGUCUGAAUAUGGGGGGACCAUCCUCCAAGGCUAAAUACUCCUGACUGACCGAUAGUGAACCAGUACCGUGAGGGAAAGGCGAAAAGAACCCCUGUGAGGGGAGUGAAAUAGAUCCUGAAACCGCAUGCAUACAAGCAGUGGGAGCACCUUCGUGGUGUGACUGCGUACCUUUUGUAUAAUGGGUCAGCGACUUAUAUUCAGUAGCAGGUUAACCGUAUAGGGGAGCCGUAGAGAAAUCGAGUCUUAAUAGGGCGUUUAGUUGCUGGGUAUAGACCCGAAACCAGGCGAUCUAUCCAUGAGCAGGUUGAAGGUUGGGUAACACUAACUGGAGGACCGAACCCACUGUCGUUGAAAAGCCAGGGGAUGACUUGUGGAUAGGGGUGAAAGGCUAAUCAAGCCUGGUGAUAGCUGGUUCUCCCCGAAAGCUAUUUAGGUAGCGCCUCGGACGAAUACCAUAGGGGGUAGAGCACUGUUUCGGCUAGGGGGUCAUCCCGACUUACCAAACCGAUGCAAACUCCGAAUACCUAUGAGUACUAUCCGGGAGACAGACUGCGGGUGCUAACGUCCGUAGUCAAGAGGAAAACAAUCCAGACCGCCAGCUAAGGCCCCAAAAUCAUAGUUAAGUGGGAAACGAUGUGGGAAGGCAUAGACAGCUAGGAGGUUGGCUUAGAAGCAGCCACCCUUUAAAGAAAGCGUAAUAGCUCACUAGUCGAGUCGGCCUGCGCGGAAGAUGUAACGGGGCUAAAACUAUGUGCCGAAGCUGCGGAUUUACUUAGUCGUGGUAGGGGAGCGUUCUGUAAGCCGAUGAAGGUGUAUUGAGAAGCAUGCUGGAGGUAUCAGAAGUGCGAAUGCUGACGUGAGUAACGACAAAACGGGUGAAAAACCCGUUCGCCGAAAGACCAAGGGUUCCAGUCCAACGUUAAUCGGGGCUGGGUGAGUCGACCCCUAAGGCGAGGCCGAAAGGCGUAGUCGAUGGGAAAAUGGUUAAUAUUCCAUUACUUCUGUGUAAUGCGAUGAGAGGACGGAGAAGGCUAAAUCAGCCUGGCGUUGGUUGUCCAGGUGAAAGGAUGUAGGCAUGUAUCUUAGGCAAAUCCGGGGUACUCUAUGCUGAGAUCUGAUAGCAAGCUGUACUUGUACAGCGAAGUGGUUGAUGCCAUGCUUCCAGGAAAAGUCUCUAAGCUUCAGUUACACAGGAAUCGUACCCGAAACCGACACAGGUGGUCAGGUCGAGUAGACCAAGGCGCUUGAGAGAACUCUGCUGAAGGAACUAGGCAAAAUGGUACCGUAACUUCGGGAGAAGGUACGCUGUUGUUGGUGAUGGAACUCGCUUCCUGAGCUGACGACAGCCGCAGAAACCAGGCCGCUGCAACUGUUUAUUAAAAACAUAGCACUCUGCAAACACGAAAGUGGACGUAUAGGGUGUGAUGCCUGCCCGGUGCUGGAAGGUUAAUUGAUGGGGUUAGCGUAAGCGAAGCUCUUGAUCGAAGCCCCAGUAAACGGCGGCCGUAACUAUAACGGUCCUAAGGUAGCGAAAUUCCUUGUCGGGUAAGUUCCGACCUGCACGAAUGGCAUAAUGAUGGCGGCGCUGUCUCCAGCAGAGGCUCAGUGAAAUCGAAAUCGCUGUGAAGAUGCAGUGUACCCGCGGCUAGACGGAAAGACCCCGUGAACCUUUACUGCAGCUUGACACUGAACUUUGACCUUACUUGUGUAGGAUAGGUGGGAGGCUUUGAAGCUGGAACGCUAGUUCCAGUGGAGCCGUCCUUGAAAUACCACCCUGGUAAUGUUGAGGUUCUAACUCUGUCCCGUGAUCCGGGACGAGGACCGUGUCUGGUGGGUAGUUUGACUGGGGCGGUCUCCUCCUAAAGAGUAACGGAGGAGUACGAAGGUGCGCUCAGCGUGGUCGGAAAUCACGCGUAGAGUAUAAAGGCAAAAGCGCGCUUAACUGCGAGACCCACAAGUCGAGCAGGUACGAAAGUAGGUCUUAGUGAUCCGGUGGUUCUGUAUGGAAGGGCCAUCGCUCAACGGAUAAAAGGUACUCUGGGGAUAACAGGCUGAUACCGCCCAAGAGUUCAUAUCGACGGCGGUGUUUGGCACCUCGAUGUCGGCUCAUCUCAUCCUGGGGCUGAAGCAGGUCCCAAGGGUAUGGCUGUUCGCCAUUUAAAGAGGUACGCGAGCUGGGUUUAGAACGUCGUGAGACAGUUCGGUCCCUAUCUACCGUGGGCGCUGGAAAUUUGAGAGGAUCUGCUCCUAGUACGAGAGGACCAGAGUGGACGAAACUCUGGUGUACCGGUUGUGACGCCAGUCGCAUCGCCGGGUAGCUAUGUUCGGAAGGGAUAACCGCUGAAAGCAUCUAAGCGGGAAGCCUACCUCAAGAUAAGAUUUCCCUAGGACUUUAUGUCCUCUAAAGAGCCGUUCGAGACUAGGACGUUGAUAGGUUGGAUGUGGAAGCAUAGUGAUAUGUGAAGCUGACCAAUACUAAUUGCUCGUGAGGCUUGACUAU